UUAGCUGAGAGGUGGUGCAUGGCCGUCGUCAGUUCGUACUGUGAAGCAUCCUGUUAAGUCAGGCAACGAGCGAGACCCACGCCCACAGUUGCCAGCGUACUCUCUGGAGUGACGGGUACACUGUGGGGGACCGCCGCUGCUAAAGCGGAGGAAGGAAUGGGCAACGGUAGGUCAGUAUGCCCCGAAUAUCCCGGGCUACACGCGAGCUACAAUGGUUGGUACAAUGGGUAUCUACCCCGAAAGGGGACGGGAAUCUCCUAAAACCAAUCUUAGUUCGGAUUGAGGGCUGUAACUCGCCCUCAUGAAGCUGGAAUCUCUAGUAAUCGCGUGUCAUUAUCGCGCGGUGAAUACGUCCCUGCUCCUU
rnacentral:rRNA from 1 species